AGGGUUUUUGGUUCUUUAGGUCAUUUAAAGAAGUGACUAUAUAAAGAACUUUAUAGCCUAAAAUUCAAAAAGGGUUCUUUUGGAGAAAAUUGGAGAGAACAUGUCUCUCCUUUUCUCUCUAGGAGGCCGGCCCCCUUGGAGGGUGUAUCUAGCAAUCCUACUCCUCCAAGGUCACUCAUUUCUACUUAAAUCUAACCUUGGUGUGGAGACUUAGAGGUUCUCAAUUUUGGGAACUUAGAGAACCAUAUUCUUCCAUCCAAAUCCAUGGAUCUAAGAAGCAAGGAAUGAAGGCCCUCUCUUUGGGUGAUUAGCCUUUGCUUAUGCAAAGAGGAAUCUACAAAGGUAUAUAUUUCUCAACUCACUUUGUUUUGAGUUGAGACCUGGUUCACCAAUCUACUAGGCUUUGAAUUUCAUGGGUAAUGUUUUGUUUUUGAAUGCAUGCAAGCAUGAUUCCGCCUUUUAUUUGUUAAAUGCAUGCUAUAGAUGUUAUUCAAAUGAACAUGUUUUCACAAAAUCGUCCUUCAAGUGGUAUCAGAGCCUAGGUCUAGUAGUUGGUGAAUCCUUUUGGUUUUGUAGUUCAUAGUUUGUGAUUUAAAAGUUGUAAUAUGUUACAAGCUUUAUUCUUGUUUCUUUGAAUGUAAAUUUUGUUAGAAAAUUUGCCAUCUCAAAUGUUGUAGAUGUAGUUCUUAUGAGCAUGAAUAUUGGAGCUAAAAUUUGGUGCCAUGCUUUUGGGAAUUUUCGGCCAAAUCCAAAGGGUGGAUUUUUGGGUUCUUGUUUGACUUGUUAAAAGUGUUUUCAAGUAACUUUUGGAACCCCUAUGUACCCUAGUUUGGUUAUAUGUUAUUUCCCUAAAGUUUGAGUGGUUUUGGGAUGUUUUUGGGUGAAAAAUGUUCAUGGAAAUUUUUUGGGUUUUUCAUGAAUGUUCUUCAUUGUUCUUGACAUUUUUGCCAAGAACAAAAAAGUUUUGUGUUUUGAUUCAAAGUUUUGAUUUAUUUCAUAAAGUUUAUGUUUUAUGUUUUUCAAAUGAUUUAAUGUGUUAGAUAUUUGUUUAAAUGGUGAUAGAAAUAAUGGUGGGUGUGAAAGGAUUAAUUCCCUUUCACACACACCACUUGCACCACUUGCACCACUUGCUUGCUUUAUGUCAAAACUCACAAAUCAACACACACAUCACUCCUUAUCCUUCUCCAAAACUGGCCCUCCCUCAAGUGGGAGUACUUUUGGGGCUUUUAUGCAAUUACAUAAAGUUUUGAUACUUUUGUGUAUUUGCACUUUGGCCCAAAAGUUUACGUUUUUACGUUUAGGUCCAAAAACGCUAAAGGACAAAUUGUUUUGUUCCUUUAAUGAAGUUUUUGCAUUGUUUAAAUUUUGGGUUCUACUUGUAUUUACAUGAAGUAGUGGACUUUUGUGUUUUUACAAAGUGACCCUAAAAAUUUAUUUUUUUGCAUAUAGCCCAAAAGUUGAGGUUAAUUGCUUUAUAGCCCAAAAGGUUGUGGUUAUUGCAUGAUGGCCCAAAUUAGGUUAAGAACAAAAUUGUUUUGUCUCUUUCAAUGAGAAUUGGAUUUUCAUUUCAUUUAGCUCCAUUUAAAUCAAUUUUAUGGAUACAAAAACCAAAUGAAAAUGUUGCAUUCAAUUUAAUUAGUUAAAGUGUUAAUUAAUUAAAGGGUGAUUAUGAACCUAAGCCUACGAUAAUUGAGCUAUGUGAAAGGCCGUUUCAAAUUUGUUUGAACCAUGGGAAUGUGUAGAUUAGAUUUUGGUUGUAAUUUGAUUUGAUCAAAUGUUGUAAAAGAGCAUAAGCUCUUCUUUACUUUAAAGUAAUUUAUUUUGAUCAAUUGUUGUAAAAGAGCAUAAGCUCUUCUUUACUUUGAAGUACUUCUUUCUUGCUUUAUUUGAUAUGCAUGAAAAUGAAGUAGUUGGGUCUAACGCCCCUAAGACAACACGCCUUAAUGUGAUUAAACGCGUAACUAAAAUCAAUCACCAUCCCUAGACCGAGAUUCAACACUAGGCUCGUGUUGAAUCUAAACGAAGGUUCACAAUCAUCCUAAGGCCCUAAGGCAACUAUAUAGUCCAUCAAAUGAAUGCAAAGGUUAUGUUAGUAGUAUCAUAUACUUUUGCUUUAAAAACAUUUUAUAAGCAUAGUGGGAGUAUUAUAUACAACUAAAAACAAUCAUAUGGACCAAUAGUUGUAAUAGGACCAAAAUUGUUUUAAUAGAGAUUAAAAUGUAUUUUUAUAUGUGAUGAGACCUAAAACCCUCAACCAAACCAUUAUUAAGUUGAUAAGCGUGAGAGUGCUUUGAACACUUUUUCGUGGCCUUCCACCGUGGUAGGCUCCAAUCGUUUAUGACUUGUACACCGCC
rnacentral:lncRNA from 1 species